ensembl:lncRNA MAP3K9-DT MAP3K9 divergent transcript
CUUUUAGGCCCAUUGGGAUGUUCAUUAGAACUCUGAAAACUACAGUUCUCCCCUUUAUGAGGACUGCACCACAGCUCGCCCUCUCCUGGGUUCCGGUAAGAAGAGAUUCCAAUACCACUCUUUUUUCAGAAUUCAGAAAGGCAAGAGACCACCUUACUGAGCUUCAAACUGGGGCUGGGAACGCUGCCAUGAAUUGGGCUUGGUCUGUCUGAAGGGAGCCACCUUUUCGACAAUCCUUAGACUUCUUUUGCCUGUUGGAAUUACACCUUGGAUCGUGGCGAAGUCUAUAGAGGUCAGAUUAAGAAGAACCAAAGCAGAAUAAACGUAGAACCCGAUGCUGAGUUCACGAGUGAGGACGACCUCUUCCUAUAUGCUUUGCUAUACCCUGCGUUUUGAACAUUAAGGACGAGAUAGGAGGCCCAUAAUGUUUCUUCUUGCUUUAAUCCUGUCGUGGCAACGUUGACUUCCAGUAAGAAAGGUUCUCUGAUCUUUUUUUCUCUUUUCUUUUCUUUUCUUUUCUUUUCCUUUCUUUUCUUUUCUUUUCUUCCAGGGUCUCAGUUUGUUGUCCAGGCCAGAGUGCAGUGGCGCAAUCUCGGCUCACUGCAGCCUCAACAUCCUAGGCUCAAGCCAUCCUCCCACCUCACCCUCCCGAGUAGCUGGAAGUACAGGCUCGUCUUGAACUCUGGGCUGAAGUCAUCCACCUGCCUCGGCCUCCCAAAGUGCUAGGAUUACAGGCCUUAGCCACCUCACCUAGUCCUCUGAAAUUUCUAAAUAAGCCAGUGCUGAAGGAUCUAGCCCAACUUCUACCAAACUUUGUUACCUUUUCCCCUUCAGUGGUAGGAAUAGACAUGAUUUAUUUAGCAAGGGUGAGUGCUUUUGUUGAAUUUUAGUUUGGGGUUUAUUAUUACACAAACUAAAGACAGCGGGGCAAUUUGGAAAGAUAACUAGGCAGCUGCAUGACUUCAGGCAGGUGUCCUAACACUGUACUCUUAAAGUGAGGGGAGUGAACUGGAAGAUAUCCUGUGUCCUCAUAGUUUGAACAUUCUGUGGUUCGCUCAUCAAUAUGACUACACUGUAUAGUCAUAGCACACAUUUGAGGUCUUGAAGAAGAGAGAUGAGGCUUGUUCUAAAAAGCAUCCAGAGUAGGUCUUGAAAAAGGAUUUCUGUUUAAGUAAAGACCUAAAACAAUGCUCAGAUUCCUAUUAUACAUAGGAUCCAUGAACUGGAAAAGAUAUGGAUGAGUCUGAGUAAAUUAUCUAGGUUUUGUUUUAGACAAAACCAUUCCACUGUCAAGCAGCAGAGAGCAAGGGAGUGGGGAUGGAGGUAUAUUGUGUUUUUUUAAAGGCCAUAAGAAAAUAAUUGUCUUGAUAAAAUUUUAACUUAGGACUGGGUAUGGUGGCUCGUGCCUGAAAUCUCAGCAGUUUGGGAGGCUGAGGCAGGAGGAUCACUUGAGCCCAGGAAGGAGACCAGCCUGAGCAACAUGGCGAGACCCCUAUCUCUACAAAAAAUGUUAAAAUUUGCCAGGCAUGGUGGUGCAAGCCUGUAGUCCCAGCUGUUUGAGAGGCUGAGGCAGGAAGAUUGCUUGAACCUAGGAGGUCAAGGCUGUAGUGAACAGUGUUUGCUAUACCACAUUCCAAUCUGGUGACAAAGCAAGACCCUGUCUCAAAAAAAAGAAUUUUUUUUAACUUGAGGGAAAAAAAGUUUUACAAACUGUAGACACACAGCAAAACAGAAACAGGAAAAAAAGUACUAAAAAGAGAAAAAUGUCAGUAGUGGGUCUCUAAGUAGUCGGAUUAUGAGUAAUUGGGUAAGUUUAUUGUCAUUUUGCUUCUCCAUAAUUUCGUAUGUUCUACUAUUUAGUUUUGUGGAUUCCUUCCCACUCCCUGGGAAGAGGGGAAGAGAGGAGAAAAAUCAUUGAUUCUUCUCAAUAGGAAAACUAAUUCCCUGUGCAACUUAAACCUUUAAUACCAUAGCAUGUGUUUAGAAUCUCAUAAAGAAUCAUUCAUCAAACAUUUCAACAAGUCAUUCAGUUAAUAUUUGUUGAAUGGGUAAGUGCUAGGAAUUCAAAUGAGGGUAGAUCUUUCAGACUAAACUUGUCUGGCAGGGUUGCAUGGAAGAAGCAGAACCAGAACUGGUCCUGGAGGGGAAUGGGGUGGAGCAGGGAAGAGUGUGUUCAGGAAAGGAGGGUGGGAAUAGGCACAGCCACAGACGUAGGAAAGCAUGGAGAGGGGACCAUUUGGAUGGAAUAGAAGGAUGAGAAAGAACUGAAAAGAUAGGUUGAGACCAGACUGUAGAGGGCCCUGUAAUCACUUGAUUCACACUAGUAAUUAUGUAAUUGAUUAUUUGUAAUUAUUUAAUGUCUGGUGCAUCCACCAUAAGGGUAGGAACCAGUCUGUCUGGUUCUCCACAGCUCUCCCAGCACCUAGAGAGUGCUUAGCACAUAAUUGACUCUCAGUACUUCUUUGCAACUGGAUGGCUGACUUGAAUCCCAGGCGAAGAAGCCUUGGUUUUGUUCAGCAUGUAAAAGAUUAUCACUGAAAGGUUUUGAGUAGGGCUGUGGGGUGAUCAAAUACUGCCUUCCCUGAGGACUAGAAUGGAUGAGGAGAUGCUUAAGUUGGGCAUUGAAAGAUAUGUACAACCUGAUUAAUAGAGAAUAAAAGAUGUGGAAAUAGAAAUUAAUGUAGUGGGUAGCAAUAAUAGAAAUUUCAUCCAGAGAAGAGGAGAGAAUGCAAAAAGGGAGUGAUGGGAAAUAAAACUGAUGAAAUAAAAGAAGGGCAGAUUGUAAAAGACUUUGAAAGUCAGGUGGAAUUACCAAGAUUUUACCACUAUGAAGUUUUUGAGGAGGGGAUUGGCAGAUGUCACCCCAAAAAAGAAACAUUUUCUCUACCACGCUGAAAAGCAUAGCAUAAGGGAGAAAAUAGCAAUCAAGAUGCAAGUUGGCAUUAGACUUAAGUCAACAGAUCAUGGUUUAUCCUGGCUUUGUCCUUUAAAAAUGCUGUGACUUUGGGCAAGACACCAGUUUGAACCUCAGUUUCCUCAAUUUUAAGUAGGUGUAAUAAUAAUACCUGGUUUUAAUGGAUGUUUACAGGAUUAAAUGAGACAGGACAUGCAGAAGCUCUUAGCUUGCUGCUCACACCCAGCAAAUAGUCAACAUAUUUUUUUCCUUCUUUCACCUGCCCAUUACCCCCAAGAAACACUCUUUAAUUACACCUAGGCCUCUUGACUGAAAGUUGAACCCAGGGUUUUCCCUAAAGGAAAGAGAGAGAAGGAAGGAAGGAAAAAGGAACAGAGGCCUCUGGGAGGCCGAGAUGGGUGGACCACUUGAGCUGAGGAGUUCAAGACCAGCCUGGGCAACAUGGUGAAACCCCAUCUCUACAAAAUAGAAAAAUUAGCCAGGCAUGGUGGUGCCUGUGGUCCUAGCUUUUGGGAGGCUGAGAUGGGAGGAUCGCUUGAGCAGAGAUGUUGAGGCUGUAGUGAGCUGAGAUUGCUCCACUGCACUCUAGCCUGGGUAACAAAACGAGACCCUCUCUCUC